GCGGAAUUAGUACAGUGGUAGUAUACCGGCUUCCCAAGCCGGGGAUGCGGGUUCGAUUCCCGUAUUCCGCU
rnacentral:tRNA from 4 species